rnacentral:rRNA from 1 species
UACGAAGGGGGCUAGCGUUGCUCGGAAUGAUUGGGCGUAAAGGGCUCGUAGGCGGUUUGUCGCGUCGGGAGUGAAAACCUCGGGCUUAACUCGGGGCUUGCUUUCGAUACGGGCAGACUAGAGGUAUGCAGGGGAGAACGGAAUUCCUGGUGUAGCGGUGAAAUGCGCAGAUAUCAGGAGGAACACCGGUGGCGAAGGCGGUUCUCUGGGCAUGAUCUGACGCUGAGGAGCGAAAGUGUGGGGAGCGAACAGG